GACGAACGCUGGCGGCGUGCUUAACACAUGCAAGUCGAACGGAAAGGCCCUGCUUUUGUGGGGUGCUCGAGUGGCGAACGGGUGAGUAACACGUGAGUAACCUGCCCUUGACUUUGGGAUAACUUCAGGUAACUGGGGCUAAUACCGGAUAGGAGCUCCUGCUGCAUGGUGGGGGUUGGAAAGUUUCGGCGGUUGGGGAUGGACUCGCGGCUUAUCAGCUUGUUGGUGGGGUAGUGGCUUACCAAGGCUUUGACGGGUAGCCGGCCUGAGAGGGUGACCGGCCACAUUGGGACUGAGAUACGGCCCAGACUCCUACGGGAGGCAGCAGUGGGGAAUAUUGCACAAUGGGCGGAAGCCUGAUGCAGCAACGCCGCGUGCGGGAUGACGGCCUUCGGGUUGUAAACCGCUUUCGCCUGUGACGAAGCGAGAGUGACGGUAAUGGGUAAAGAAGCACCGGCUAACUACGUG
rnacentral:rRNA from 1 species